GAGUUUGAUCCUGGCUCAGGAUGAACGCUAGCGACAGGCCUAACACAUGCAAGUCGAGGGGUAACAUUGUAGCUUGCUACAGAUGACGACCGGCGCACGGGUGCGUAACGCGUAUGCAACCUACCCAUUACAGGGGAAUAGCCCGAAGAAAUUCGGAUUAAUACCCCAUAGUUUCAAGAUACCGCAUGGUAUUUUGCAUAAAGAUUUACCGGUAAUGGAUGGGCAUGCGUAAGAUUAGUUAGUUGGUGAGGUAACGGCUCACCAAGGCAUCGAUCUUUAGGGGUUCUGAGAGGAAGACCCCCCACACUGGUACUGAGACACGGACCAGACUCCUACGGGAGGCAGCAGUGAGGAAUAUUGGGCAAUGGAGGCAACUCUGACCCAGCCAUGUCGCGUGCAGGAAGACCGCCCUAUGGGUUGUAAACUGCUUUUAUAUAGGAAUAAUUUCACUACGAGUAGUGAGUUGCAUGUACUAUAUGAAUAAGGACCGGCUAACUCCGUGCCAGCAGCCGCGGUAAUACGGAGGGUCCAAGCGUUAUCCGGAUUUAUUGGGUUUAAAAGGUGCGUAGGUGGAAUUAUAAGUCAGUGGUGAAAGUUUGCGGCUCAACCGUAAAAUUGCCAUUGAAACUGUAUUUCUUGAGAGAAUUCGAAGUAGGCGGAAUGUGUUGUGUAGCGGUGAAAUGCAUAGAUAUAACACAGAACACCGAUUGCGUAGGCAGCUUACUAGGAUUUUUCUGACACUGAUGCACGAAAGCGUGGGUAGCGAACAGGAUUAGAUACCCUGGUAGUCCACGCCGUAAACGAUGCAUACUCGUUGUUGGCAAAUUAUAUUGUCAGUGACCAAGCGAAAGUAUUAAGUAUGCCACCUGGGGAGUACGUCGGCAACGAUGAAACUCAAAGGAAUUGACGGGGGCCCGCACAAGCGGAGGAACAUGUGGUUUAAUUCGAUGAUACGCGAGGAACCUUACCUGGGCUUAAAUGAAGACUGCAUAGAGCAGAGAUGUUCUUUUCUUCGGACUGUUUUCAAGGUGCUGCAUGGUUGUCGUCAGCUCGUGCCGUGAGGUGUCGGGUUAAGUCCCAUAACGAGCGCAACCCCUAUCGUUAGUUGCUAACAGGUCAAGCUGAGGACUCUAGCGAGACUGCCGGUGUAAACCGCGAGGAAGGUGGGGAUGACGUCAAAUCAGCACGGCCCUUACGCCCAGGGCUACACACGUGUUACAAUGGCAGGUACAGAGGGCAGCUACAUAGCAAUAUGAUGCGAAUCUCGAAAGCCUGUCUCAGUUCAGAUUGGAGUCUGCAACCCGACCCCAUGAAGUUGGAUUCGCUAGUAAUCGCAUAUCAGCCAUGAUGCGGUGAAUACGUUCCCGGGCCUUGUACACACCGCCCGUCAAACAAUGGAAGCUGGGGGUACCUGAAGUACGUAACCGCAAGGAGCGUCCUAGGGUAAAACUGGUAACUGGUGUUAAGUCGUAACAAGGUAACCGUA
rnacentral:rRNA from 1 species